rnacentral:lncRNA from 1 species
UUCUCUAUACCAUAUGCUUAACUCUAGAAAAAAUUUUAAUGGAUGAUAGCCACUUCCAUAUUUUAACCUACCUCUGUAAGGAUGAUUCAAUGCUAUUCCUACAUCUCAUUUACGAAGCCUGAAAAUAGUCAUAUCUUAUUAUAUGCUCUUUAUUAUAUAUAUGCAUAAAGAAUAGCUUGUUAUGUGGUAAUUGACGGCUCAAUGG